UAACGUCCAAUGCUAUUUGGUCCCGUCAACUUAAGAAAGAAAAGGGUGUCCUCUAAUCUAUGGUAUCGCUCUCUUAUCUCAGACUCGACCACGGACAAAUGGUGACGGAGACUAGACCUCGAAAGAUAAGACAUGUAAAAAAGGGACAGCAAUACUUAAUUACCCUAAACCUAGACAAAAUCAUCCUCUGAUACCAAGAUGAUGUAGGGGGUUCCUAGGUGACUAGGUCUCCUACAAGAUUAACUAACUAGGUAGGGUUAACUCAAGGGACUUAGGUAGAUAGGACAAAAAGAAACUCAGCAAACAAGAUUAAGCAUGCAAAAUAAAAUGAGACUAAUAAACAAAGUAGCAAAAAGCAAUAAUAAUCUAGACGGAAAAACACAGAAAUUCUUACUUAAGUUUCAAGUUGGGACAUGGGGAAGAGGAA